rfam:Camelus ferus unplaced genomic scaffold scaffold902, whole genome shotgun sequence.
GAGGGUAUAGCUCAGUGGUAGAGUGCAUGCUUAGCAAGCGUGAGGUCCUAGGUUCAAUCCUCAGUAUCUCCA